GAUGAACGCUGGCGGCGUGCCUAAUACAUGCAAGUCGAGCGAACAGACGAGGAGCUUGCUCCUCUGACGUUAGCGGCGGACGGGUGAGUAACACGUGGAUAACCUACCUAUAAGACUGGGAUAACUUCGGGAAACCGGAGCUAAUACCGGAUAAUAUAUUGAACCGCAUGGUUCAAUAGUGAAAGACGGUUUUGCUGUCACUUAUAGAUGGAUCCGCGCCGCAUUAGCUAGUUGGUAAGGUAACGGCUUACCAAGGCAACGAUGCGUAGCCGACCUGAGAGGGUGAUCGGCCACACUGGAACUGAGACACGGUCCAGAAUCCUACGGGAGGCAGCAGUAGGGAAUCUUCCGCAAUGGGCGAAAGCCUGACGGAGCAACGCCGCGUGAGUGAUGAAGGUCUUCGGAUCGUAAAACUCUGUUAUUAGGGAAGAACAAAUGUGUAAGUAACUAUGCACGUCUUGACGGUACCUAAUCAGAAAGCCACGGCUAACUACGU
rnacentral:rRNA from 1 species